CCUACGGGUGACAGCAGUGGGGGAUAUUGGACAAUGGGGGAAACCCUGAUCCAGCGACGCCGCGUGAGUGAAGAAGUAUCUCGGUAUGUAAAGCUCUAUCAGCAGGGAAGAAAGAAAUGACGGUACCUGAGUAAGAAGCCCCGGCUAACUACGUGCCAGCAGCCGCGGUAAUACGUAGGGGGCAAGCGUUAUCCGGAAGGACGGGGCGUAAGGGGUGCGUAGGUGGUUUAGUAAGUUGGCGGUGUAAUUCCGGGGCUCAACCUCGGCGCUACCGCCAAAACUAUUAGACUAGAGUGCAGGUGGAGUAGGUGGAAUUCGUAGUGUAGCGGUGGAAUGCGUAGAUAUUAGGAGGAACAUCAGGGGCGAAGGCGACUUACUGGACUGUAACUGACACUGAGGCACGAAAGCGUGGGGAGCGAACAGGAUUAGAUACCCGUGUAGUC
rnacentral:rRNA from 1 species